ACAUGGUGAAACGCCAUCUCUACUAAAAAUUAAAAAAAUUAGCUGGGCGUCGUGGUGCACACCUGUAGUCUCAGCUACUCUGGAGCCUGAGGCAGGACAAUCGCUUGAACCCGGGAGGCGGAGGUUGCAUUGAGCCGAGAUCAUGCCACCGCACUCCAGCCUGGCAACAGAGCGAGACUGCAUCUCAAAAAAGAAAAAAAAAGUAAAAUUGAAGGCAUUGUAAUUUAAUCUAGCUAUAGACUUAGAGCACCUGUACAACUUCUAUAGUUGUCAGUCAUUUAAAUCUCUGUGUGCUGCCUUUGGAACAUGGGGGACAUAAUGAUCUACUCUUAUAGAAUAAGAUGCUGAUUAAAUAGAUAAUGCUUUUAAAAUAUUUUGAAUUAAAGAUAUUUUAAUGUGUAAGUAUACUGCAACUCAUUUAAACAAAUCUACUUGGUAGUGAAGCUAUCUGAUUGUACGGGAAAAAAUAUUGCCCUUAUGAUUUAGAACAGUGCGUGCAAUAUGAGCUACAAAUGUGAGCCAACACGCCUGGCCUAAACCUCUUUUUUUGUAAAUUGCUCAGUCUCGGGUAUGUCUUUAUUAGCAGCAUGAAAAUGGACUAGUACAGCUGGAUAUGAAAUUCUUGGUUGAAAUUUUUUUUCUUUAAGAAUGUUGAAAAUAGUCUCCCUGUCUCUUCUGGCUUGUAGGGUUUCAGCUGAGAGGUCUGCUGUUAGCCUGAUGGGAAUCAGUUUGUAGGUGACCGGCCCUUUCUCUCCAGUUGCCUUUAAUAUUUUUUCUUUCAUUUCGACCAUGGAAAAUCUGACAAUUAUGUCAGAUUUUCCUGGGGGAUGAUUUUCUUGUGUAGAAUCUUGCAGGAGUUCUCUGUAUUUCCUGAAUUUGACUGUUGGCCUCUGUAGCAACGUUGAGGAAGUUUUCAUGGAUGAUAUCCUGAAAUAUAUUUUCCAAGUUGUUUGCUUUCUCCCCCUGCCUUUCAGGGAUGCCAGUGAUUCAUAGAUUUGGCCUAUUUACAUAAUCCCAUACCUCUCAGGGGUUUUGUUCUUUCUUUUUUUUCCUUGUUUUUGUCCGACUGUCUUAUUUCAGAGAACCGAUCUUCAAGUUUGGAGAUUCUUUCCUUAGCUUGGUGUAUUCUGCUGUUUGUAGUUGUGAUUGCAUUGCAAAAUUCUUGUGUUAUUAAGCUCUGUCAGACCCAUUAUGUUCUUUUUUGUACCAACUAUUUUGUCCUUCAGCUCCUGUAUCACUUUAUUGUGAUGCUUAUUUUCCUUGGAUUGGGUUUUGCCAUCCUCCUGAAUCUCAGUGAUCUUUGUUCCUGUCCAUAUUCUGAAUUCUAUUUCUGUCAUUUCAGCCAGUUCGGCCUGGUUAAGAACUCUUGGAGAACUGGUUUGGUCAUUAGUAGAAUAUGUGACACCCUGGCCAUUUGAGUCACUGGAGUUCUUGUAUUGGUUCUUUCUCACCUCUGUGCGUGGGUGUUACUUUAACUGCAGUGUAGAUAGAGUAUAACCAAUAGACUUCUUUUCUGGAUGUUUUCACAGGGCUGAGGCUUUGUGUAGCUAUGCUUUUUAUUUGAAGCUGACUUCUUAUCUUUGGUUUCAGAGGGAAAUAUGUUAAUAAGGUAUUUUUGGUAUUGAAACUUUGGGGUGUGAUCCAGUAGGUGACACUUAGGCUUAUUGGUCAGUUGGUUGACGCUUGCCCAAUUGUGUGGAUUCCCUGUGUUUCCUCACAGUUGCAGCUGUGUUCCCUUUCAAUGCUCUGAAAGUGUGAGUUCCACUCCCCCUUGAAUGCUGGCUGUAGUUCACAACUUGGCACUCCUGGGCUGCCCACUGCCAGUCUGGGGUGAUCUCAGUGUUUAUGUUCCUUCCCCAGCUUAGAGGCAGAAGAGGAAGAGAUUUUAGUAGUGGUUGUGCCAGGGGUCAUUUGCUUGACUCAUGGGGGCUCCACCCCAGAGGGAUAUAGGUCAGCAAUCAUUCAGUGCAAUCAGCCCAACAUGGAGGGUUUGUACAGGGCCCAAGCCAGGUGUUCCCUGUCUGGUGAUGAGCUGUGGGGCAUGUGUGGGACCCAUGGGAGCAGACUAGUCUCUGCUCCUUGGGUCAACUGCAGCUUGUUGGAGGUGUGGAUAAGGCACUUAGGGUCUUUGUUCCUUCAUUAGUCCAACGGUGGCAAGGGCAGUUCCACUGCAGAGGCAGUGGCAGAGAGGCUUUCAGUUGCCCUGGAGGCUCUGUCCAUGGAGUUGCUGAGUUGGUACUGGUUUGAUAGCUGUGGCAGGGGAUGGCUGGAGGCCCAGGCCUGGUGGACCUGCCUGAUGAGGACGUAUGGGAAUGGGCACCUACAUAACAGUCCGGCCACUUUCUGUAGGGCUUCUGCAGUAUGCUUGGGGCCUACUCCAGUCCCUAGUCACCUCAGAUUUUCCAGAACCUGUGGGUCUCACCAGCGAAGCCUGCAAAACAGCAAAGAUGGCAGCCUGUCCUCUCUGGGAGCUUUGUCCCAGAUAGAUACAGACCUCCUGUCAGCCCAAAGGCACCUGUAGGAAGUGGCUGGAGACCCUGAUUGGGAGGUCUUGUCCAGGGAGGAGGAACAGGAUCAGGACCUGCUUAAAAAAGCAGUCUGGCCACAUUUUGGUAGAGCAGUCAUGCUGUCCUGGGGGUUCAUUGCAGCCCCCAGUCACCUCAGACACUUCAAAGCCCAAAGGCUGGAAUGGCUAAGUUGCCCAAACAGCAAAGAUGGUGGCUUGCUGAUGUGGUUUGGUUGUGUCCCCACCCACAUCUCAUCUUGAAUUCCCAUGUGUUGUGGGAAGGACCUGGUGGGAGGUAAUUGAAUCACAGGAGCAAAUCUUUCCUGUGCUUUUCUUGUCAUAGUGAAUAAGUCUCACAAGAUCUGAUGGUUUUAAAAAGAGGCUUUCUCCUGCACAAGCUCUCUCAUUUUUUGCCUUCUGCUAUCCACGUAAGAUGUGACUUGCUCUUCCUUGCCUUCCACCAUGACUGUGAGGCUUCCCCAGCCACAUGGAACUGUAAGUCCAAUUUAACCUCUUUCUUUUGUAAAUUGCUCAGUCUUGGGUAUGUCUUUAUCAGCAGUGUGAAAAUGGACUAAUACACUUGCCCCACCCUCUGGGAGUGCUGUGCCAGGGGGAUUCAGAUCUCUGUCAGCUAGAAAGCUUGGGUCGGGGGUAGCUAGAGGCCCCUGCUGGGAGGUCCUGCCCAGCGGGGAGGAACGGGAUUGGCCACCCAGUUAAAGCAGCAGUCUGUCCGUAUUUUGGUAGAGCAGCUGUGCUGUGCUGGGGGAUCCCCUUCUGCCCCGGGUUGGCUCAGACACUCCAAAGCCUGAAGGCUAGAACAGCUAAAGUGCCUGAACAGCAAAGAUGGUGGCCCACCCCUCCCCCUGGAAACUCCUUCUUAGGGGGGUGCAAUGCUGCUAGUGGCAGCUGGCUGCAAUUCCAAGCCAACAGGUCUUAUCUUGUGAGGUGCCAUGAAAAUGAGGCCUGCGGCCUGCCGCUGCUCAGCCCCCUGGAUUCAGCCUCUUUCCUAGGGGUAUGUACAAUAGUCUAACCUCCCUCUUUGCCAGAGCUGCAGCUACUUUUGCCAGAAAGCUCAAGUAUCUAAGCCUCCAGGGUCUCCACACGUGCCUUAGUGGCUGCUCUGCCAAGGUUCCAUGUAGCUCUGUCUGUCAGACUGAAGACAGAAGGCCCUGGUGGAGUGGGUUCACAAGGAGAUCUGACUGACCCAAGGGUUGCAAAGAUCUGUGGGAGAAGCAUGGUCUCCCAGGGUUGCUCAUUCACUUACCACUUCCCUGGACAGAGGAUACCCUGUCUUCAUGUUGCUCCCAGGUGGCCAUUAUCCUGUCUUGCUUUUCUUCAUUCUCUGUGGGUUGAGUUGUUCCCCUGAUUAAUGCCAAUACGAGUACCUGGAUGUUUCAGUUGAAGGUGUUGUAUUUACUAGCCCUUUCUGUUCCUCUCCGUGAGAGCCAUGUAUACUAGCUGCUUCUAGCCAGCCAUCUUGCCAACUGCCCCUACAUUCUUCUUUCAUUCUAAGUCUUUGAGAUCUGAUGUGUAUUUUACACCUGCAGCACAUUUCAGUUCACACUACGCACACUUAAGUGCUUGAUGUUCACAUACAGAGAUUGGCUGCAUGUGGGACAGUGUGGAUUUAGAAUUUAGAGCUUUCUAUUCUUAUUAUAGCAAAGGGAUGAGCCAUCAAAGGAAGCCGAAGAGCAACUUUUGUUUGUUUGUUUGUUUUUGACAUGGUUUGGCUUUGCGUCCCUGCCCAAAUCUCUUGUUGAAUUGUAAUCCCAAAUGUUGGAGGCGGAGCUUGGUGGGAGAUAGUUUGGUGAUGGAGUUAGAUUCCUUGCAAAUGUCUUGGGCCAUCCCCUUGGUGAUAAGUGAGCUCUCCCUGUGAGAUCUCACAAGACCUGGUCAUUUAAAAGUAUCUGGCACCUCCCUUCCCUACCCCCUUGCUUGCUCCAGCUUUUGCCUUAUGAAGCACCUGCCCCACCUUUGCCUUCCACCAUGAUUGUAAGUUUCCUGAGGCUUUCCCGGAUGCUGAGCAGCACCCUGCUUCCAGUAAAGCCAGCAGAACUGUGAGCCAAUUAUACCUUUUUUCUUUAUAAAUUACCCCAUCUCAGAUUUUUUUUCUUUUUUUUUGAGACAGAGUAUUGCUUUGUCACCCCGGCUGCAGUGCAGUGGCGUGAUCUUGGCUCACUGCAACUGCCUCCUGGGUUCAAGCAAUUCUCUUGCCUCAGCCUCCCGAGUAGCGGGGAUUACAGGCACAUGCCAGCAUGACCUACUAAUUUUUGUAUUCUUAGCAGGGACGGGGUUUCACCAUGUUGGCCAGGCUGUUCUCGAACUCUUGACCUUGUGAUCUGCCCACCUUGGCCUCCCAAGGUGCUGAGAAUACAGGCGCGAGCCACCGCCCCUGGCCAGGUAUUCAAGUGAAACCUCCAGGGAUUCCUCAAGGCCUGCCAUUUCAUUUCACAUCAAUUUUCUCAAAUUUUAUGGGAUAAUCACUGUGAAAAAAACAUUUUAAAUGGUCCAUUUUCAAGGCAUGAUAAAUCUAACUACUGGCAGCCAGCCUAAGGAUGUAAAAAACCACACAGCUUGUGCACCUGGAAAGUCACGAUAAGCGAACAGACUGUAAAGGAGAGGUCAGCCCAUAAAAGGGAAGAAAGUUUCAUUAUUGGGAAAUCAAACUUAAGCUGGGAAGGCGAUGGGAGGGUAUAACCUUAUAAGGGGGGUAAUAAAACUUAGGCUUUGUCUGGAAAGAUUGUAACCCGAUAGUACUCGACCAGUGAGGAACUGGGGCAGGGACUUGCAUGCUAGGAGAUAAAUUACAUGCUGAUUUAUCAUUAGGAGAUAAAUUAGGAGAUUGGGUGUGCCUGCCUACCAGACACCCAAUCUUGCAAGACCACCAUGCAAAGUCUUGCUUCCACUGUUCUUUGUGUCUCCAAGUCCAUUCUUUGAGUUUGGAUGGGUGAAUGUGUUUCUCACAAUCACUUUCUAAAGAAGGCAUAAAUGAAUAUUACUGCCAUUCUCCAGCCUCUGUCCCUAUUAUCCACCUCUAGCCUACAUGUCAUGUUCUGGCCAAACAGAAAAGAAGGUUGAACUCCAGGGAAUAAAAAAGCAUGGUUAACUAGAAAUACGACCAGUAAUACCCAAGCCCUGUUAGUAUGUUCCCUUUGCAUUAUUUGUGGAUAAAGCACUUUUCAACAAGAUGUGGAAGUAUAAUAUUCUUACAUUUAUGCCUGAAGUUAUUAACCAGUAAUUGUUCCAAGUGACUUUUUUUGAAUGACAUUUAAUGGGACUAUACAGAUAAUUUCAUACUAUCCAUGUUUUUACCCAACUGAGGAACUAUUUACAAGAUCAGACUGCAAACAGAAAAUAAAUCUGUGUACAAAAAAAUGAUUUAGAAUUCAGAGAUAUCCUUCAUUCCUUUCUCUCCUUACCCCUUACAUUCCGUUCAUCAGUAUCUUCUAAAAUUUUACCUACAGAAAAUCACUUGAUCAGUCAAUUUUUUUCCAUUUCAUUAUUAUAAUGCUAAUCCAAGCCACCAUCAUGUUAUACUUGGACCUGAAUUGAUCUCUCGCCUCUCUGCAAU
rnacentral:lncRNA from 10 species